CGGACGGGUGAGUAAUGUCUGGGAAACUGCCUGAUGGAGGGGGAUAACUACUGGAAACGGUAGCUAAUACCGCAUAAUGUCGCAAGACCAAAGAGGGGGACCUUCGGGCCUCUUGCCAUCGGAUGUGCCCAGAUGGGAUUAGCUUGUUGGUGGGGUAACGGCUCACCAAGGCGACGAUCUCUAGCUGGUCUGAGAGGAUGACCAGCCACACUGGAACUGAGACACGGUCCAGACUCCUACGGGAGGCAGCAUG
rnacentral:rRNA from 1 species